GACGAACGCUGGCGGCGUGCCUAAUACAUGCAAGUCGAGCGAAUCGAUGGGAGCUUGCUCCCUGAGAUUAGCGGCGGACGGGUGAGUAACACGUGGGUAACCUGCCUGUAAGACUGGGAUAACUUCGGGAAACCGGAGCUAAUACCGGAUACGUUCUUUUCUCGCAUGAGGAGAGAUGGAAAGAUGGUUUCGGCUAUCACUUACAGAUGGACCCGCGGCGCAUUAGCUAGUUGGUGAGGUAACGGCUCACCAAGGCGACGAUGCGUAGCCGACCUGGGAGGGUGAUCGGCCACACUGGGACUGAGACACGGCCCAGACUCCUACGGGAGGCAGCAGUAGGGAAUCUUCCGCAAUGGACGAAAGUCUGACGGAGCAACGCCGCGUGAGCGAAGAAGGCCUUCGGGUUGUAAAGCUCUGUUGUUAGGGAAGAACAAGUACAAGAGUAACUGCUUGUACCUUGACGGUACCUAACCAGAAAGCCACGGCUAACUACGUGCCAGCCGCCGCGGUAACAC
rnacentral:rRNA from 1 species